AUGCAUGGAUUGGAAGAUUCUAUCAGGACUGAGACUGCUAGUGAUGAAUCUGAAGGUGUUGAUGUUGCUGAAAAUAGUACAUCUGAAGGUGAUUAUACUGUUGAAAAGAGUGCAUCUAAUGGUGAUGAUGUUGACAAUAACAAUGUUGCAUCGAAUGAUGAUGAUGGCGAAGGAGAAGAUUAUGAAAUUGCCGACGAUGUUGAUGCUGAUGCAUGA